rnacentral:rRNA from 1 species
AUGAACGCUGGCGGCGUGCCUAAUACAUGCAAGUCGAGCGAACAGACGAGGAGCUUGCUCCUCUGACGUUAGCGGCGGACGGGUGAGUAACACGUGGAUAACCUACCUAUAAGACUGGGAUAACUUCGGGAAACCGGAGCUAAUACCGGAUAAUAUAUUGAACCGCAUGGUUCCAUAGUGAAAGACGGUUUUGCUGUCACUUAUAGAUGGAUCCGCGCCGCAUUAGCUAGUUGGUAAGGUAACGGCUUACCAAGGCGACGAUGCGUAGCCGACCUGAGAGGGUGAUCGGCCACACUGGAACUGAGACACGGUCCAGACUCCUACGGGAGGCAGCAGUAGGGAAUCUUCCGCGAUGGGCGAAAGCCUGACGGAGCAACGCCGCGUGAGUGAUGAAGGUCUUCGGAUCGUAAAACUCUGUUAUUAGGGAAGAACAAAUGUGUAAGUAACUAUGCACGUCUUGACGGUACCUAAUCAGAAAGCCACGGCUAACUACGUG